ACAUCCCUGGGGUGUUGGCCAGUCGGUGAUGUCCCUGAGCCGAUACGCACAACCACGGGGGUGCCACCAAGGCCGGUGUGCAUGUCCGCCCGACGGAAAGCCUUAACGCCUUGUGUCACCUCCACCUUGAACUUUCGGGUUCAAGGGCUAAACCGACAGCGGCACUACCGGGGAGCCU
rnacentral:other from 3 species